AUUGAACGCUGGCGGCAGGCCUAACACAUGCAAGUCGAACGAGUGGCGGACGGGUGAGUAAUGUCUGGGCAACUGCCUGAUGGAGGGGGAUAACUACUGGAAACGGUAGCUAAUACCGCAUACCAUCGGAUGUGCCCAGAUGGGAUUAGCUAGUAGGUGGGGUAAUGGCUCACCUAGGCGACGCCCCCUAGCUGGUCUGAGAGGAGGACCAGCCACACUGGAACUGAGACACGGUCCAGACUCCUACGGUAGGCAGCAGUGGGGAAUAGUGGACAAUGGGCGCAAGCCUGAUGCAGCCAUGCCGCGUGUGUGAAGAAGGCCUGCGGGUUGUAAAGCACUUUCAGCGGGGAGGCGUUACCCGCAGAAGAAGCACCGGCUAACUCCGUGCCAGCAGCCGCGGUAAUUC
rnacentral:rRNA from 1 species